ACAAACUUAGUUUAAAAAAAAUAUUAAUUUGUCGUAUUAAAGAUGCAGAUAAUGUAGUUUGUU
rnacentral:tRNA from 1 species